AUGUAACUUAUUUUUUAAUCAUUAAUAAGUCAUUUUACUUAUGCUUAAUAUAAGCUAAAAUAUGAGGUCGUUUGUUUCUGGUGAGAAGGUGCAUGGAGUGAUAUAUAAUGACAUCUCUCUUGUGUAUGUUAUGUGUUAAGACCUUGUCAACUAGAAUUUCUCUCUCCUAUACAUGUACCAAUUUCUGUGCCGUGUUCAUUGCUAGCUCGUGGUAAAGGGAAAACUAACGAGGAAUUUGCACAUGUAGGGAUAGGAGGCAUCGAGAUAUCAGAACAUAUGCUUAGCUAUCUAAGACUACUAUUAUUGUGAUAUCAUCAUAGCUGUAUGCUUGAUUAUCGUCACUGAUACUAAGGGGCAGUAAAUCCGAAGAUGAAAAAAAUUCAUUUUUUAAUUCCUAGGGAGGAGAAGUUUCAUCUUAGUUGCUACUGUAGAGCUGCAUGGCACACAAAUCUGUUUUAUCUUUCCAAUAAAGCUUCUCUAUAAAUUUGCCAAAAAGUUUUAUGCAAGGUACAUGCUUUGACUUCAAAAGUAUUAACAUAC
rnacentral:lncRNA from 1 species